GUUAUUUUAUUUCUAUUCAAGACCAUAUCAAGAGAAAGUAGCUACUUAAGCAUAAAUCUUCCAUGAAGAUCUUAAUUGUCUUUAAUAAACAAGUUUGUAGUUGUUUAUCUUUUUUUUCUUUUCAAAUUGCAAAUUUACCACUUUAGCAUUGAACAGAUGAUCCAAAAGAAACUUGAUCAUCGCAACAGCAACUAGCAACUUGAAUGUGAAGGAUGAGAAAAGAAUCAAUAAACUUAUAUUCAAC
rnacentral:lncRNA from 1 species